CAGCAUGGUAGAAGAGAGUUUAUUGUAGAAGGAGGAAAUUACAAGCCUGAAACCCUUAACAGGCUCAGGAAAAGCUCUCUGACCCACACACUAGGUGCAAUCCAACCUGAAUUUUUGCCUCUACUUGGGUGAUUAAUCAUAUGGUGAAUCUGGCCUCACUGGCUCUAAUAAUAGGGCUUGCCUUUGGCUCUUUGUGGACCAGGGAAAUAAGAGCAUCUUUCCCGAGUGUCAGAAUACUCCCCUUUUGUUAAUGGUGCCAGCAGGUCUACCCCACUGGCAGUUAAAGCUAAUAUGAGCCUUUCAUUCUCAAAUUGCACACAAGAAUUUUUUUUUAAGUACUACAGUUUUGAAAGAAAGAGUAACAUAUACGGCAACAGGAAAAAAAUUACUAAAAAAGAUUUUAAAUUGGAUAAAAUUAAGUGCAAGUCUUUGAUUUACCUGAAUCUGUUUUAAUUAUUUCUUCAUGAUGCUUGGAAGAAUACAAUGACCACCAAAGCAAUAGAUGCCUAUUCUUUUCUGAUAUUCUUUCCUGAUACGAUAUGUGCUUACUGUAUGCUUUUAAAAAAAGUAAUUCAAAUAUCAUAAUACUUUUCACAACACCAUUCAGUUGUUUUCAGUAUAUUCACAAAACUGUAUAGCCAUUACCACUCUCUAAUUCCAAGCCAUUUUCAUCUCCUCGAUGUCACACUCCAUACCCAUUAGCAGUCACUCCCCAUUCAAUCCUCAUCAACCUGUGGUAAUAUUUUCUCCACUUUCUGUCUCAGAAUUUGCCUAUUCUAAACAUUUUGUAUAAAUGGACUCCAGUGAUAUGAGGCCUUUUGUGACUGAUGUCUUUCACUUGGCAUAAGGUUUUCAAGGUUUAUUCAUGUUGUAACUUGUAUCAGUACUUCAUUCUUUUUAAAGUUUCAGUAGUAUUUCAUUGUUUGGAUACACUGCAUUUUGUGUAUCCACUCUUCACUGGUAGACGGUUGUUUUCACUUUUUAGCUAUUAUGAAUAAUGCUGCUAUGAACAUUUAUGUAUAAGUUUUUGGUGGACAUAUAUUUUCAGUUCUCUUUUGUAUAUGCCUAGGGGUAGAAUUGCUGGGUCAUAUGGUGACUCUAUAUUUAACUUUUUGAGGAAAGUGUUCGCACCAUUUUACAUUCUCAUCAGUAAUUUAUGAGGGCUUCAAAUUCUCUGCAUCUUCAACAACAUUUUUAAUGUCUAUCUUUUAUAUUGUAACCAACCCACUAGUUAUGAAUAAUUAUCUCAAGGUUUUUUUUAUACUUUAAGUUCUGGGGUACAUGUGCAAAACGUGCAGUUUUGUUACUUAGGUAUAUACAUGCCAUGGUGGUUUGUUGCACCCAUCAACCCGUCAUCUACAUUAGGUACUUCUCCUAAUGCUAUCCGUCCCCUAGCUCCCCAACCCCCAGCAGGUCCCAGUGUGUGAUGUUCCCCUCCCUGUGUCCAUGUGUUCUCAAUGUUAAACUUCUACUUAUGAGUGAGAACAUGUGGUGUUUGGUUUUUAUCUGCAUUUCCCUAAUGACUAAUGAUGUUGAGCAUAUUUUUGUGUAUUCGUUGGUCAUUUACACAUCUUCUUUGGAAAAAAUGCCUACUGAAGUCCUUUCCCUAUUUAAAGUUAGGUUAUUGUCUUUUCGUUAUUAAGUUGUAACAGUUCUUUGUGUAUUCUGAAUGGCAGACUAUUAUCAGAUAAAUGACUUGCAAAUAUCCUCUCCCAUUCUUUGGGUUGUCUUUUUCCUUUUUUGUUAGUGUUAUUGUCCAGUUUAUCUAUUUUUUUUUUCUUUUGUAUCCUGUGCUUUUGCUAUGGCAUUUAGGAAACCACUGCAUAAUCCUAGGUAUCAAAAUUUACCCGUAUGUUUUCUUCUAAGAGUUUUGUAGUUUUAACUCUU
rnacentral:lncRNA from 1 species